rfam:Synechococcus elongatus PCC 7942, complete genome.
AAAAUGGAGAGUUUGAUCCUGGCUCAGGAUGAACGCUGGCGGCGUGCUUAACACAUGCAAGUCGAACGGGCUCUUCGGAGCUAGUGGCGGACGGGUGAGUAACGCGUGAGAAUCUGCCUACAGGACGGGGACAACAGUUGGAAACGACUGCUAAUACCCGAUGUGCCGAGAGGUGAAACAUUUAUGGCCUGUAGAUGAGCUCGCGUCUGAUUAGCUAGUUGGUGGGGUAAGGGCCUACCAAGGCGACGAUCAGUAGCUGGUCUGAGAGGAUGAUCAGCCACACUGGGACUGAGACACGGCCCAGACUCCUACGGGAGGCAGCAGUGGGGAAUUUUCCGCAAUGGGCGCAAGCCUGACGGAGCAACGCCGCGUGGGGGAGGAAGGUUUUUGGACUGUAAACCCCUUUUCUCAGGGAAGAAGAAAGUGACGGUACCUGAGGAAUAAGCCUCGGCUAAUUCCGUGCCAGCAGCCGCGGUAAUACGGGAGAGGCAAGCGUUAUCCGGAAUUAUUGGGCGUAAAGCGUCCGCAGGCGGUUAAUCAAGUCUGUUGUCAAAGCGUGGGGCUCAACCUCAUACAGGCAAUGGAAACUGAUUGACUAGAGUAUGGUAGGGGUAGCGGGAAUUCCAGGUGUAGCGGUGAAAUGCGUAGAUAUCUGGAAGAACACCAGCGGCGAAAGCGCGCUACUGGGCCAUAACUGACGCUCAUGGACGAAAGCUAGGGGAGCGAAAGGGAUUAGAUACCCCUGUAGUCCUAGCCGUAAACGAUGAACACUAGGUGUUGCGUGAAUCGACCCGCGCAGUGCCGUAGCCAACGCGUUAAGUGUUCCGCCUGGGGAGUACGCACGCAAGUGUGAAACUCAAAGGAAUUGACGGGGGCCCGCACAAGCGGUGGAGUAUGUGGUUUAAUUCGAUGCAACGCGAAGAACCUUACCAGGGUUUGACAUCCCCCGAAUCUCUUGGAAACGAGAGAGUGCCUUCGGGAGCGGGGAGACAGGUGGUGCAUGGCUGUCGUCAGCUCGUGUCGUGAGAUGUUGGGUUAAGUCCCGCAACGAGCGCAACCCACGUUUUUAGUUGCCAUCAUUCAGUUGGGCACUCUAGAGAAACUGCCGGUGACAAACCGGAGGAAGGUGUGGACGACGUCAAGUCAUCAUGCCCCUUACAUCCUGGGCUACACACGUACUACAAUGCUCCGGACAGCGAGACGCGAAGCCGCGAGGUGAAGCAAAUCUCCCAAACCGGGGCUCAGUUCAGAUUGCAGGCUGCAACUCGCCUGCAUGAAGGCGGAAUCGCUAGUAAUCGCAGGUCAGCAUACUGCGGUGAAUACGUUCCCGGGCCUUGUACACACCGCCCGUCACACCAUGGAAGUUGGCCAUGCCCGAAGUCGUUACCCUAACCGUUCGCGGAGGGGGGCGCCGAAGGUAGGGCUGAUGACUGGGGUGAAGUCGUAACAAGGUAGCCGUACCGGAAGGUGUGGCUGGAUCACCUCCUUU